rnacentral:tRNA from 1 species
CGGGCCCGUAACUCAGCAUGGUCAGAGUGGCUGGCUCUUAACCAGCAAGCCGUGGGUUCAAAUCCCACCGGGCCCGUC